UACGUAGGAUGCAAGCGUUGUCCGGAAUUAUUGGGCGUAAAGAGCGCGCAGGCGGCCCAUCAAGUCAGUUGUGAAAUCUCUGGGCUUAACCCAGAACGGUCAGCUGAUACUGCGGGGCUAGAGUGCAGAAGGGGCAACUGGAAUUCUCGGUGUAGCGGUGAAAUGCGUAGAUAUCGAGAGGAACACCUGCGGCGAAGGCGGGUUGCUGGGCUGACACUGACGCUGACAGCGCGAAAGCUAGGGGAGCGAACGGG
rnacentral:rRNA from 1 species